AACGAACGCUGGCGGCAUGCCUAACACAUGCAAGUCGAACGAGACCUUCGGGUCUAGUGGCGAACGGGUGCGUAACGCGUGGUAACCUGCCCUUAGGUUCGCAAUAACUCCCCGAACGAGGUUCUAAUAACGGAUACUCUCUUCGGACCAAAGAUUUAUCGCCGUUGGAUGGGCCCGCGUGGGAUUAGCUCGUUGGUAGGGUAAAAGCCUACCAAGGCGACGAUCCAUAGCUGGUCUGAGAGGAGGACCAGCCACACUGGGAAUGAGACACGGCCCAGACUCCUACGUGAGGCAGCAGUGGGGAAUAUUGGACAAUGGGCGAAAGUCUGAGCCAGCAAUGCCGCGUGAGUGAUGAAGGCGUUAGUGUUGUAAAGCUCUUUUACCCGGGAUGAUAAUGACAGUACCGGGAGAAUAAGCUCCGGCUAACUCCGUG
rnacentral:rRNA from 1 species